UACGUAGGAUGCAAGCGUUAAUCGGAAUUACUGGGCGUAAAGCGUGCGCAGGCGGUUAUGUAAGACAGUUGUGAAAUCCCCGGGCUCAACCUGGGAACUGCAUCUGUGACUGCAUAGCUAGAGUACGGUAGAGGGGGAUGGAAUUCCGCGUGUAGCAGUGAAAUGCGUAGAUAUGCGGAGGAACACCGAUGGCGAAGGCAAUCCCCUGGACCUGUACUGACGCUCAUGCACGAA
rnacentral:rRNA from 1 species